rnacentral:lncRNA from 1 species
UGCAGAGCAGGACUCCUCGGCCCCGCCCCUCUGCAGAACCCUACGCAGGGUCCUCCCUCUGUUGGCUCCGCCCUUUGCGGUAGAACCCGGGGCGGAGCUCCCCAGCCCUCACUGCGGUCUUUCUUUCCAGUGGCCUCGGACGGUGAGGUCAUGUCUUUUCGAGCUCCGCUACACGUGGGGGGUGAUCAAGCCAGCUGGUGGCCCCCUUAAGAAGUAUGAUGAGGGAUUUCAGCUUACAAAGAGGUCAGAAGUACAAAAGGCCUUGGCCCCAGUGGAAGAACAGAGAUGAAAAGCCCAGAAACCUGUCCCCAUGAAACUCCUGGCGGGGGAGAAGGAUUCAAAAUGGGUAUAAGGUGGCGCUACCAGCACAGGGAGGAACUUUCCAUUGCUGGCUGAAGAAUAAUUACUCCCUGUUGUUGGGUUCCCUGAGUCAGUAUACAUUCCCUAAGGGGUUUGGGUGGCUUAAUCAUGCAAAUUAAAAUGAUCUAAUAGGAUUUGCUACUUGAUAAGUGAACGUAAUUACUCGGCUUCUCCCUGUUGACUUGAUCAUUGUUAUUUUAAACAGAAUUCCCUUUCUGGUAUAAUGAGUGACUGAAACGACAUGGAAAUGUUAAAUAAAACCUUAUAUAUAAAACUGGUUUUGUGGUUU